CGCGUAGGCGGUGCGGUAAGUCACCUGUGAAACCUCCGGGCUUAACUCGGAGCCUGCAGGCGAAACUGCCGUGCUCGAGGGUGGGAGAGGUGCGUGGAAUUCCCGGUGUAGCGGUGAAAUGCGUAGAGAUCGGGAGGAACACCUGUGGCGAAAGCGGCGCACUGGACCACUUCUGACGCUGAGGCGCGAAAGCUAGGGGAGCAAACAGGAUUAGAUACCCUGGUAGUCCUAGCCCUAAACGAUGAUUGCUUGGUGUGAUCGGUACCCAAUCCGAUCGUGCCGCAGCUAACGCGAUAAGCAAUCCGCCUGGGGAGUACGGUCGCAAGGCUGAA
rnacentral:rRNA from 1 species